GGGGGCGGCCGGACCAGGACCAGGAAACAGCUGCUCGUACUCCGGUACAGAAAUGAGGCAUCUCUGUGUACCAGUAUUCUCACUGGACCCCUGGCCUGAGGUCUGCGCUUUGUCUGAACAGGAUCAGGUUGGGACCGAAAAGGACAGAGUGAACAAUGAUUGUGCACCAACCACAUGGGACAGGUCUGGCAGGGACAGGAGUCUGGUGAAAAGCCUGCCACUGAAAGGGGAGGUCCGAGCUCCAGAGCUACAGGCCGACUGGCUCCUGCCCAGCCCACAGAUUCCUCUGCCUUCCAUCCCUCCCUGUUUCCACAGCCCGCCCCCAACGAUUUCCUCCCUUCUCAGUCACUCGCUGCCUAGUGAUCCAUGGGUUUUAAAUUAUAACUGGGACCCAGGAAACGCGUUCCUAAGUACAA